AGUGGGGAAUAUUGGACAAUGGGCGAAAGCCUGAUCCAGCAAUGCCGCGUGAGUGAUGAAGGCCUUAGGGUUGUAAAGCUCUUUUACCCGGGAUGAUAAUGACAGUACCGGGAGAAUAAGCCCCGGCUAACUCCGUGCCAGCAGCCGCGGUAAUACGGAGGGGGCUAGCGUUGUUCGGAAAUACUGGGCGUAAAGCGCACGUAGGCGGCCUGGCAAGUCAGGGGUGAAAUCCCGGAGCUCAACUCCGGAACUGCCCUUGAAACUGCCAAGCUAGAAUCUUGGAGAGGUCAGUGGAAUUCCGAGUGUAGAGGUGAAAUUCGUAGAUAUUCGGAAGAACACCAGUGGCGAAGGCGACUGACUGGACAAGUAUUGACGCUGAGGUGCGAAAGCGUGGGGAGCAAA
rnacentral:rRNA from 1 species